ensembl:lncRNA
ACUUAAGCUUCACAUUGUUUUUGGGUGAAUAUUGUUUUAAAGCCCCACAGUUUCCGAAAUGUUUAGCUUUGUUUAUACCUAGCUUGGGCUCAAUCGGGUGUGACGUCACACACUCGAGAAGGGCUAAACGGAAGUUAUUGAAUUAUAAAACGACUGUUCAUCUUAUGAACUCACCUCACGCUUGGCGUGUGUAUUCCUGGGCUUAUUUGGACACAGGACACGUUCAAUAUGAAUGAAUUUCGGCCGAAGAAACAACGAGAGGCGCUCUGUGCAGCAGCGGGGAGCGGUGAUUCUGGAUUACGCGUACAUACAGACGUGUAGUGUCGACUCGGACACAUGACACGUUCAGUAUUAAUAAACCUAAUUCAAAACAUACAACCAGCGACGCUCUGGUAGCAGAUGGGGAGAACAUCAGGGCUCUGUGGACAGACUCCAGCAUGUCUUCAACUGUGUCGGCAGCGGUCCAACAAAAGCAAAGAUGAGUGCCUUUAUGCCUGUAUGUCCUUCAGUUUUCUCGACAACCGUUGCUACGAUGGACUUCCCACUGGAUGUGUGCAUAUUUCUGGGAGGCCAAGAAAUAACAGUGUCAAGCAGCUCAAGCUGCAACAUUGGCCUGUCCAAACAAGCACGUCUCGAACGGACACUGCACUGGUGGUUAUAAAGGUGUCAUCUUCUCAGCGUGCUGGACGUCUUUCAACUUCUGACAUCCUUCAAGACAAAUAAGGAAGGUUGCCGCUGCUGUGGUUAAUGACUUGAAGAUGCUUCUUGAAAUUGACAGAUCCUUCAACAAGCACUCAAAGAAUCGUACGUCUUCUCAAGUGUUUCAAAGAAUGAACAAUUCAAGUGUCUGUAUAAAUCAGCCCCCUGCAUGGACCAAGUGAAUCUUGAGAAAUCUUGCAUAGUCCAAGUGCACAAUUCCUUUCUCUGCAUCACUUUCUAACAAAAUAGACAUAAUAACUUAAUGUCAAGAAUGAGACAGGGACUGCUUUGACAUAUCUUCCUGCAAUUGCUCUGUUAAAGGUGCCCAAAGUAUCCAAGAAAUGACAAACGGCUGUGGGGAGAAAGCAUUUUCUAAUUCAAUCAAUGUUCAAUCAAAAAGCGUUACUGAACCCCCUGUUACAGAUUAAAUUACUCAACAUGUUAUCCCCAUGGCUUAAUGACAGAUUUUUGAUACUUUGUUAGUACCGCAGUAGCAUUAUAAUGAGCAAAGUUGUUUAUGAAAUUUGCCACACACACUGUGGCGUUAAGGUGUCCGAGAAGCGUAACCCUCUCUCUCGGAGGCAGACAUAAAGACCAACCGGUUGCCAAACGGUGCUCAACACAUCCACACACACCUUGGCGUUAUACUAUGAAUGUCAGCGAAGCUAAACUCAUUGUGGACAGAUGUAAAUUACUUCUCGUAUUUGAACAAUAAUUUUGCCCUCUGUACAAAAUACAAUCAUUAAUUCCAAAAGUCCCAUAAUGAAUGGUUAUUUUAUAAUUUUGUG